rnacentral:rRNA from 1 species
UACGUAGGGUGCCAGUCUUAUUUGUCGUUGCUUGAUGUAAGGGGUACGUAGGCGGUUUAAAAGGAUUAAGUUUAUGUCAUGAGUUUAUCGUGGUGACUCUUAUAUAACCAUGAACUAGAGUUUAUUUGAGGUGGGUCGAUUCCUCUUGGGGAGAAGUGAAAUACGGUGGUACCUAGGGGGGGGCGUUCGAUGGCGAAGGCAACUUACCAGCUUAAACUGACGCUAAGGUACGAAGGCGUAGGGAUGCAAACGGGAAGUUAGAAACCCUAAGUACGUC